rnacentral:snRNA from 1 species
GUGCUCACUUCAGCAGCACAUGUGCUAAAAUUGGAACAAUACAGAGAUUAGCAUGGCCCCUGUGCAAGGAUGACACGCAAAUUUGUGAAGUGUUCCAUGUUUUU